UCGUAUAACAGAGGUGCUGGGGUUGUCGCUGACCUUUGAAAGGGUCGUGCACGCCUCGGUUCACUCGCACACAAUCCAUCUCACCCCUUUUGUGCAUCACCGCGUGGGGACCCCUUUUGGCUAGUUCCGAGGGGGGUUUUCACGUUUUUACACAGACACCCUUUUUAAUGCAAUGUGUAGAAUGUCUUACUUUUUUGCGAUCACACGCAAUCAAUA
rnacentral:misc_RNA from 1 species